GUCCACCACUUCCAUUUCCCUUUACAUGACUAAAGUUUCUAAAGUCACAUUUCAGCUUUAACAUGGGAGGUUUGAGUCAAGAUUUUUGCUUUUGGGCCACAGGAGAUAGGAGAUAUCUGUUCUCCCUGAGCUGAGUUUGUUUUAUGUUUUUCUUUGCUGACACUUUCCCUGGAGCAAGUGGGGCCUUAUUCGAGGAAGGUGCUUUUGUGCCCCAAGGAAAAAUCCCUGGGGACUUCCUCGUCUCCCCCAGCCAGUCAGUAAAAAGAAGCAAAAGCACUCAAAACAAAGCUUUCCUCCAGUUCCUCCAGAGAGACUCCCUCCCAGACAGCUCUGGGUUUGCUCCCAGCUCAUCCAUUUCCUCACAAACAGCCAGAGGCUAUAGGAAAAGGCCGAGUCCAUCACUGGACAGCAGAAGAUCUCACAAUUUGGAGAGCCAGGCUUAUUCACCCAUGACAUUUUUAGAAGCUUCUUCUGCAGUCAGUGCAUUAUGCUUGCCAGGAUUUCCUGAGCCCACAGAGAUAUCAUGGAUGGUUCCUGCUCAGGUUUUUGUAAAGUGUGGUAUUCUGUUAUUUUUUAGCUUUUUGUCUCAGAAUGGAGACAAAGAGGGAAAGAUGUGCAGAGUGUGACAGGGACCUCCUUGUAGGUAGUCACCAUUGGAGCACACACCAGGCUGACGUGAUGGAGGCAGCUGUUCCCUUGGGACACUGCACAUGACUGGAAACUACUAGGUGACUUCUGGAGAGGACAGAGUGAGACAGUGAAGGGGAAAGGUGCCUGGGGCCUAACAUGGAAGCUUUCAGUCUGUGGUAUAUAUACCCUGCUGUGAUUGGUCCAUUUCUCUGUCAGACCUCACUGUGAGCGAUGAGUGUCCUGUAUAUAAGGCUGUGGGCUGACAGCAGUUCUGUCCCUACAGACCAGGGAGCAGAUUUCAGUAACCUGUGGAACUUUUUCACUGCUAUCUAGCUUGUUAGUUGUUGAGUUGCGGCUUCAUCAAGAUCUGUCUGCACAGGAGCACAAUGACCACCUAGCCACAUGUCCUGCCAGCCCUAAAAGAAGAACCU